rnacentral:misc_RNA from 1 species
UCUCCGUAGGUGAGCCUGCGGAAGGAUCAUUAAAAAAUUGGACUCCAUUGGUGAGUUCAUUAAUAAUCCCUACCCUUUGUGAAUUUGUUUGUUUGAAUAAUUUUUUUUCCAAAAAAAAUUAUUGAAUGUCUUUCCUUGUCUUGGUGGAGCUUGUAAAGUGAAACCAGGCAGGGGAAUGGCAAACAAUAAUUAUUUUUGAAAAAGACCUUUUUUUAAAAUUAAACUUUUUGUAUUCAUUUGUCUAAAAUUAAUUUUUAUAAUAUAAAAACAACUUUUGACAAUGGAUCUCUUGGUUCUCGCAACGAUGAAGAACGCAGCAAAAUGCGAUAAGUAGUGUGAAUUGCAGAAUACGUGAAUCAUCGAAUCUUCGAACGCAUAUUGCACUUUUUUAGUUUACUAAAAAAGUAUGUCUGUUUGAGUAUCAGUAAAAUAUUCUCAUAAGAAACAUUGUUUUUUUUAUGGUUAUGAGUGUUUUACAACGAUAACAAGUUGUUUCACUUUAAAUUCUUUGUUAUCAAAAAAAUCAUUAAAAGCUAAUUUUAAAGAUUUUUAAAAUUGGAUAAAAUUUUCCCGUAAAAAGGAAUAACCUAAACAAUUUUAAAAAAUUAAAAUUGGUUUGAUUCUUUUUGAAACCCAAAGGAAAAAAAAACGAAAUUAACUUGAUCUCAAAUCAGAUAAGAGUACCCGCUGAACUUAAGCAUAUCAAUAAGCGGAGGAAAAGAAACUAACUAGGAUUCCCUCAGUAACGGCGAGUGAAGCGGGAAGAGCUCAAAUUUGAAAUCUUCAAGGUUUUACCUUGACGAAUUGUAGUUUAAAGAAGUGUUUUCUGUUGGAGUUUUGGUAAAAGUUCUUUGGAAAAGGACAUCAUAGAGGGUGAGAAUCCCGUAUUUGACCAUUAUCUCCAGCUUUGUGAUACACUUUCAAGAGUCGGAUUGUUUGGGAAUGCAGUCCAAAAUGGGUGGUAAAUUUCAUCUAAAGCUAAAUACUGGCGAGAGACCGAUAGCGAACAAGCACCGUGAGGGAAAGAUGAAAAGAACUUUGAAAAGAGAGUUAAACAGUACGUGAAAUUGUCAAAAGGGAAGCGUUUGACACCAGUGUUGUUUUCUCGAAAAUCAAUUAAAAAAGGCCGGAUUUUGUGUUGUAUUGACUUUAUCAGCUUUCUGCACUCUUUUCUUGUCUUUUUUAAUGCACUUUUCGUUUAACAAGUCAACAUCAAUUUCUUUUGUUGUAAAAGGGUCAUUGGAAGGUGGCUUUCUUUUCGGAGAAAGUGUUUAUAGCCUUUGGCCUCUGCAAUCGGAGAGAUUGAGGUCUGCAGCGUAGAUCCUUCGGGGUUAGAUACAUUUGUGCUAAGUUAUAGCCUUUCAUAGACAACUUGUUGACUAUGAUCAGUCAUGUAGCUUACUCGCUUAUGCUAUU